rnacentral:rRNA from 1 species
UGGGGAAUAUUGCACAAUGGGCGCAAGCCUGAUGCAGCCAUGCCGCGUGUAUGAAGAAGGCCUUCGGGUUGUAAAGUACUUUCAGCGGGGAGGAAGGCGAUGCGGUUAAUAACCGCGUCGAUUGACGUUACCCGCAGAAGAAGCACCGGCUAACUCCGUGCCAGCAGCCGCGGUAAUACGGAGGGUGCAAGCGUUAAUCGGAAUUACUGGGCGUAAAGCGCACGCAGGGGGUCUGUCAAGUCGGAUGUGAAAUCCCCGGGCUCAACCUGGGAACUGCAUCCGAAACUGGCAGGCUUGAGUCUCGUAGAGGGGGGUAGAAUUCCAGGUGUAGCGGUGAAAUGCGUAGAGAUCUGGAGGAAUACCGGUGGCGAAGGCGGCCCCCUGGACGAAGACUGACGCUCAGGUGCGAAAGCGUGGGGAGCAAACA